CGACGACGAUGAUGAUGAUGAUGAUGAUGAUGAUGAUUAUCGAUGAAGAUGAUGAUGAUGAUGAUGAUGAUGAUUAUCAUCAUCAUCAUCAUCAUCUCUA
rnacentral:pre_miRNA from 1 species